rnacentral:rRNA from 1 species
UGGGGAAUAUUGCGCAAUGGGGGCAACCCUGACGCAGCAACGCCGCGUGAGUGAGGAAGGUUUUCGGAUCGUAAAGCUCUGUCGAGUGGGAAGAAAUGUAUCAUGGCUAAUAUCCAUGAUACUUGACGGUACCGCUAAAGGAAGCACCGGCUAACUCCGUGCCAGCAGCCGCGGUAAUACGGAGGGUGCAAGCGUUGUUCGGAAUCACUGGGCGUAAAGAGCGUGUAGGCGGCUGAAUAAGUCAGAUGUGAAAUCCCUGGGCUUAACCCAGGAAGUGCAUUUGAAACUAUUGAGCUUGAGUAGGGGAGAGGAAAGUGGAAUUCCUGGUGUAGAGGUGAAAUUCGUAGAUAUCAGGAGGAACACCGGUGGCGAAGGCGACUUUCUGGCCCUAUACUGACGCUGAGACGCGAGAGCGUGGGUAGCAAACA